rnacentral:lncRNA from 1 species
AAUUAUCAUUUGACUUUUUUUUCUGUUAAAAUAUGCUUUCUGAAUACAAAGCUGUCAUUAUAUUGUCUGAUAUCAGAGUGCAUCAUCUUUGGAUGAGUAUAUAAAUUAUACAUUUCUGGAGAUUGAGCAAUUAAAUAUUAAUUUAUAGUAAUAUAAUGACCAUAGUAUUAUUAUAGUGAUGGUAUUAUUAGUAACAGUAAUUGAUGAGAGAAUAAAAGAUUUAUAUCUUUUAUUGUUAUAGUAUUAUAUCUGAGGGAGUUAGCAGGAGAGCACCACACUCUGAGUUCCAAUCGUGAGUCCUUUAUUGCCGGCGACCAAGAGACGGUUAACCCUCAAAAUUCCCUCGGCCCCAAGGAAGAAAUAACACAAAGAUCAAUAACCGGAAGGAAGCCAGAGGGAUGAAAAUACAUGGUGGAUGAGGCUUGUUUUGCACAAGGCACUUCUGAGAGAUAUUAG